CUUUGGAAGAAGUAUUUAAAGAAGUCAGACACCAUGGCCAGGAAGCCACUUGUUCUUCUCAUGCACAAUAUUUCUCCUAGGGGAAGCAGCCCACGAGGAACGUGGCAACACCGACAUGCAGGAAGCAGCUGAGGACUGGGAUCUUUGCAAAUGGUGAGACUGGAAAGUCUGGAAAACUUCUUGCCUCGACUGGAAGAGACCAGCAACAAAUAGAAAAAUAAAGGUGGCAAAGGUAA